rnacentral:rRNA from 1 species
GACGAACGCUGGCGGCGUGCUUAACACAUGCAAGUCUACGAGAAUAAGGUAGCAAUAUCUUUAGUAAAGUGGCGCACGGGUGAGUAACACGUAAGUAACCUACCUUUAGAUUUGGAAUAACCCCGAGAAAUCGGGGCUAAUACCGAAUGAUGCAGCGGCACCACAUGGUGAUGUUGUUAAAGUCUAUAUGACGUCUAAAGAUGGGCUUGCGUCUGAUUAGCUAGUUGGUGAGGUAACGGCCCACCAAGGCUAUAACGGGUACCGGACUGAGAGGUUGGCCCGGCGCAUUGGGACUGAGACACUGCCCAGACUCCUACGGGUGGCAG